UUGAAUCACCAGUUCUCAUCCAAUCACUAAAGUUAAACAAUGUUGAGCCUGGUCAGUACUUAAAUGGGAGUCCACUUGGAAAUAUCAG